rnacentral:lncRNA from 1 species
GAGCUCACCUGUGACCGCCCAGCUCCAGACAAUCGACUUGCCUCCAGCUACGCCCUCUGAGACAGCAGACCACUACCUGCUGUGUCCAUCAAGCACUGUGCCGACAGGGCAAUCUUGUGACUAUUGUGGGAGGGACAUUUCAAUCACAUGUGAAACACCCCGUUUGGGGGUAUAUAACCACUCUGGCACCCCACUUCUUGGGUGCCCUUUCUUCCUUCUGGAAGAAAGGCCCCGGGCCAUGGUUCCUCAUAAAGCUUUGUUUAAUUUUCUCUUGCUAUUCUGUCUCAUGUGAAUUUAAUUCGUUCUCCAGCCAGACGAACCCCUAUUUGGGGAGAGGAAAUGUCCUCCUCCCCUACAGUUUUGGCGUAGUUGGCAGGCUGAAAUUUCCCUGGCUGGACACUGCUUGCUCCUAGACUGCUGCGGCUGAGAGAUCCCAGACCCCUGACGAGAGCCGGCAAGAGGUAAGAGUUCUUACCACAUCAGUCUCCCGGAUCUCUGCCUGCAGAGUCCAAAGGAAGCAAGAGUGAUCUCAGAAGUGCUCCAGACACCCGUGGGAAACUCCAAAAGUUGGCGAUCCGUCCUGCUACCAGUCCCGCACAGCUACGAGUGGCUGCACGGAGGGUGCUCCAUAACCGACUUGAAGCUGAGGAUGCAAAGGAAGACAAGAUGAUGAAAAGGCAGGCCGCCCUGCUCGCUGUGGCCCGCCAGUCUCCUCAAGGAUACAGCAGCCCCUGAGAAGCGAGAGAUUCCCCUACAUGAUUCAAGCAGGGCUAACUCGGAACUAUGGGCCCAAGGACAGGUGGAGUGAGCAGCUGGUGCCACGCCAGGA